rnacentral:rRNA from 1 species
AUGGCGAAGCUCCGGGAGCUCCGACGCCCUGGGGACCCGCGCCCCCGCCGGACCUCCUUCCUCCGCAUCCGGCCACGCCGGCGGCAAGCCCUGCCUCCGCCGCCUCGCCAAGUUUCGCCGCCUGAACCUCCCUGCAUCGCCAUGGCCGCCGGCCUCUGUUUUCCCCGCUCUUCGGUUUCGUUCCGGAGUUGUGAGGAUUCGUUCGACUACAUCCGUUUGUCUUCUUCAUGGACGCGUUCUUCUUCCUUGCGGGAUCUCAGGCAUGAUGAUCAUAUCCUCGAAAUCACUUCUAUCUUUGCUUGUUAG